CCAGUAGUCAUAUGCUUGUCUCAAAGAUUAAGCCAUGCAUGUCCGAGUAUAAGCAAUCUAUACGGUGAAACUGCGAAUGGCUCAUUAAAUCAGUUAUCGUUUAUUUGAUAGUACCUUACUACUUGGAUAACCGUGGUAAUUCUAGAGCUAAUACAUGCUAAAAACCUCGACUUCGGAAGGGGUGUAUUUAUUAGAUAAAAAACCAAUGCCCUCCGGGGCUCCUUGGUGAUUCAUAAUAACUCAACGAAUCGCAUGGCCUUGCGCCGGCGAUGGUUCAUUCAAAUUUCUGCCCUAUCAACUUUCGAUGGUAGGAUAGUGGCCUACCAUGGUUUCAACGGGUAACGGGGAAUUAGGGUUCUAUUCCGGAGAGGGAGCCUGAGAAACGGCUACCACAUCCAAGGAAGGCAGCAGGCGCGCAAAUUACCCAAUCCCGACACGGGGAGGUAGUGACAAUAAAUACUGAUGCGGAGCUCUUUAGGGUUUCGCAAUUGGAAUGAGUACAAUUUAAAUCCCUUAACGAGGAACAAUUGGAGGGCAAGUCUGGUGCCAGCAGCCGCGGUAAUUCCAGCUCCAAUAGCGUAUAUUAAAGUUGUUGCAGUUAAAAAGCUCGUAGUUGAACCUUGGGCCUGGCUGGCCGGUCCGCCUCACCGCGUGCACUGGUCCGGCCGGGCCUUUCCUUCUGGGGAGCCGCAUGCCCUUCACUGGGUGUGCCGGGGAACCAGGACUUUUACUUUGAAAAAAUCAGAGUGUUCAAAGCAGGCCUAUGCUCGAAUACAUUAGCAUGGAAUAAUAGAAUAGGACGUGUGGUUCUAUUUUGUUGGUUUCUAGGACCGCCGUAAUGAUUAAUAGGGAUAGUCGGGGGGCAUCAGUAUUCCAUUGUCAGAGGUGAAAUUCUUGGGAUUUAUGGAGACUAAAAAAAAAUUGGAGGGAAGGGGCCCCCCCCGGGAACGCUCCCCCUGUAGACCUGGUUUAGUCCCUGAUCGGGGGGGCGAGAUUCUGAAACUGCGGGGGAUCGCUGCCGCGAGGCUGUGUACCGAAGCCCGAGAGGGCUCACAGAUCAAGUGGGAGUCGGUAGCACGCCGCCGACCCGGGCGGGGGAGGGCUACUUGUGAUAUGAUCGGCCCGCCAGCCAACGCUGGCGGACUCCGUGCGUGGAGCUGCGGCUUAAUUUGACUCAACACGGGGAAAUUCACCAGGUCCAGACACAAUAAGGAUUGACAGAUUGAGAGCUCUUUCUCGAUUUUGUGGGUGGUGGUGCAUGGCCGUUCUUAGUUGGUGGAGUGAUUUGUCUGCUUAAUUGCGAUAACGAACGAGACCUUAACCUGCUAAAUAGCCAGGCCCGCUCAGGCGGGUCGCCGGCUUCUUAGAGGGACUAUCGGCUCAAGCCGAUGGAAGUUUGAGGCAAUAACAGGUCUGUGAUGCCCUUAGAUGCUCUGGGCCGCACGCGCGCUACACUGACAGAGCCAACGAGUACACUCCCUUGGCCGGAAGGUCUGGGUAAUCUUGUUAAACUCUGUCGUGCUGGGGAUAGAGCAUUGCAAUUAUUGCUCUUCAACGAGGAAUGCCUAGUAAGCGCGAGUCAUCAGCUCGCGUUGAUUACGUCCCUGCCCUUUGUACACACCGCCCGUCGCUACUACCGAUUGAAUGGCUCAGUGAGGCCUUCGGACUGGCUCAGGGAGGUCGGCAACGACCACCCGGAGCCGGAAAGUUCGUCAAA
rnacentral:rRNA from 1 species